AACGAACGCUGGCGGCAUGCCUAACACAUGCAAGUCGAACGAGACCUUCGGGUCUAGUGGCGCACGGGUGCGUAACUCGUGGGAACCUGCCCUUAGGUUCGGAAUAACUCCCCGAAAGGGGUGCUAAUACCGGAUAAUGUCUUCGGACCAAAGAUUUAUCGCCUUUGGAUGGGCCCGCGUUGGAUUAGCUAGUUGGUAGGGUAAAAGCCUACCAAGGCGACGAUCCAUAGCUGGUCUGAGAGGAUGAUCAGCCACACUGGGACUGAGACACGGCCCAGACUCCUACGGGAGGCAGCAGUGGGGAAUAUUGGACAAUGGGCGAAAGCCUGAUCCAGCAAUGCCGCGUGAGUGAUGAAGGCCUUAGGGUUGUAAAGCUCUUUUACCCGGGAUGAUAAUGACAGUACCGGGAGAAUAAGCACCGGCUAACUCCGUG
rnacentral:rRNA from 1 species